AAGUCUCAAGGUCUUCUUCUCUUCAUCUUUCUCUCUUUUCUUUUCUCUCACGAGACUUGAUUUUUUUCCCGAUCUCACGAGACCUCGAGACCUUCAUCAUCAAUCAUCAAUCACGACCUCGAGACCUUCAUCAUCAAUCACGCCACCGUCGCAAUCUCCGUAGCUCUAAAGGAUGAUGAAGGUGAAACUGUUGUUAUUAGAUCGAGUCCAACUGAUCUGGAAGAUGUGAUCACACAGCCACCAGAAUGAGUCGUAACGUCUCCGUUAUGAAGUAAAGCAAAGUGAGUCGUAACGUCUCCGUCUCUCUUGGUAAUACUUGUUGUGUGGUCGUAGAGAAUUGUGGGAGAAAGCUGUUAGGUGAGGGUGCAAUCUUACCACUGAAGCUAGCUUACUGAGAUGAAAUCAUAUCUAUCAGUAAAUCAUAUGCAACA